GACGAACGCUGGCGGCGUGCUUAACACAUGCAAGUCGAGCGGUAAGGCCCUUUCGGGGGUACACGAGCGGCGAACGGGUGAGUAACACGUGGGUGACCUGCCCUCAGCUCUGGGAUAAGCCUGGGAAACCGGGUCUAAUACUGGAUAUGACUCCAUGACGCAUGUUGUGGGGUGGAAAGCCUUGUGCGGCUGAGGAUGGGCCCGCGGCCUAUCAGCUUGUUGGUGGGGUGANGGCCUACCAAGGCGACGACGGGUAGCCGGCCUGAGAGGGCGACCGGCCACACUGGGACUGAGACACGGGCCCAGACUCCUACGGGAGGCAGCAGUGGGGAAUCUUGCGCAAUGGGCGAAGGCCUGACGCAGCGACGCCGCGUGAGGGAUGACGGCCU
rnacentral:rRNA from 1 species